CCUACGGGAGGCAGCAGUGGGGAAUAUUGCACAAUGGGCGAAAGCCUGAUGCAGCAACGCCGCGUGAGCGAUGAAGGCCUUCGGGUCGUAAAGCUCUGUCCUCAAGGAAGAUAAUGACGGUACUUGAGGAGGAAGCCCCGGCUAACUACGUGCCAGCAGCCGCGGUAAUACGUAGGGGGCUAGCGUUAUCCGGAAUUACUGGGCGUAAAGGGUGCGUAGGUGGUUUUUUAAGUCAGAAGUGAAAGGCUACGGCUCAACCGUAGUAAGCUUUUGAAACUGAGAAACUUGAGUGCAGGAGAGGAGAGUAGAAUUCCUAGUGUAGCGGUGAAAUGCGUAGAUAUUAGGAGGAAUACCAGUUGCGAAGGCGGCUCUCUGGACUGUAACCGACACUGAGGCACGAAAGCGUGGGGAGCAAACAGGAUUAGAUACCCUGGUAGUCCACGCCGUAAACGAUGAGUACUAGGUGUCGGGGGUUACCCCCCUCGGUGCCGCAGCUAACGCAUUAAGUACUCCGCCUGGGAAGUACGCUCGCAAGAGUGAAACUUAAAGGAAUUGACGG
rnacentral:rRNA from 1 species